rnacentral:lncRNA from 1 species
UCCAAUAACCGGUGAAUUAUUCAUACUUUGACACUUAUAUACUAUAUAUAUAUAUAACAAAACACUUAUUUACUGAGACCUCGGGAAAGCAGUGUGUUUUGUGGCCCCUCGACCGCCGUUGUUGCCCUCGGCUUCGCCUCGGGCAACAACGGCGGUCUCGGGUCCACAAAACACACUGUUCCCCUCGGUCUCAGUAAAUAAGUGAUAAUUGUCUGCAACUUUGAGAAGGUACAGAUAACGCCUUCUAAAAUCCUCAGUUCUAACGAUAUCUUUGUAAAAUCACAAGGAAGUUAAUGCUAAGCCUUUUGGCUAUGUUAUUGGCCUGAAAAAGAACUAUUUUAACGCGAUCAAGGUAUUUAAAACAAAAGUAAUACGAAGCCAACAUAACGGCAAAGACAACGCUAAAAUGAAAUAUUGCCGAUUGGUUGCUGGUAGAAGACUUACGACAGGAUCAAUCUUAAAUAGAGAAUAAAUGUUCACAUAGAAUAAAUGUUCACAUCAAAGACAAAGAUCAGUCCCAAAGUAUAAAAUCUGCUCUGUAAACUUACGACAAAGUGGAGAAAUGUGUGCAUAAGCUGUUUAUUUGGUGAUUUUAAAAUAUGGCAGCCCUCUUUCCAAUAAUAUGCUCUUAUCGCGCAGAAUAACACCAACUGAUAUAAUUUAUUAUAAUAGUCCAAAUGGAAUGGUAAGUUACCUCUUGAAUUACAUCUCAGAAACUGUGUUGGAAAUGUAAAUGCUGACCCAUUCCAUAAGAUUACCGUUUUACACCGUUGUAUAAAACAUUUUUGUAAAAUUUAUGCAGGGACCAUUUUAUGUAACGAUAUCUUUAGUUGGUUUAUAUCCUAGCUAACAGACAGAACUUGCUAUAGUCUAUAUUUUGUAAUAGGCAAUUCCAGCUUUUAGUUUAUGUGUGCAGGGGGGGGGGGGAUGAGAAGUAAGGUAUCAUAUUGCUGAUCAUGCUGAAAAAAUAAAAAUGGUGGCCGUGUAAACACGGAGUGAUGGCUUAUACUUGUAAAUAUUAAAAUUUUAUAUUUCGGUUAUUUCGGCAAUUUUUCAGCAUAAUCAGCAAUAUGAUACCUUACUUCCCAUCACCCCCUGCGCGCAUAAAUUAAAAGCUGGAAUUACCUAUUGUGGACAGACAUUUUUUAAUCCAUGAAACAGUACUGUGAGCUUACCGUUAAUUUCAAAUAUUUUACUCAUAUACAGUGUAUCCUCAUUCAAACUCUUGUAUACAAGAAGUUAAAUAUUUGUACUCACUUCAUCCAAUCAUAAUUCAGUUGUAAUACCUACAGUAUUAAAGCUAAAGAUUCACCGUGUGGGACGUCUGAGGGGAAACUUGUAUGAAAUCAUACAUAGACAUAGUGUUGCUGAAACAUUGCUUCUUCGUCUUGUUACCCAAGAGCAAAGUGAGAAAACAUGUCAGAAACAUUUGCCUGUAGAGUACAGAUUUCUGAGUAGAUUGGGCUAUUUGUUAUUGACAGCAAACAUACUAGAUGUUGGCCUGGGGUCCGACUAAAUACUGCCCAGAGCGCCCGGAAACGCCCAAGAUAGUAUUUACCAGAUUCGCAGGUCAAGACAUCAGUUUUAACAGUCAAUGAAAUAGCCUAAACAUUUAUAAUGGUAGUAACAAGCAGAAACAUACUACGAAAGUUAUCGAAAGAUAAACGUUGCUCCUGGGGCUGGACAGCUAGCAAACGAUGAUGUCGUGACCAGCGAAUCCGGUACAGUGUAAACGGGGUCAGUGUAAAUAGUGUAUGAUCCUUUCUGAGUCUUUAUGAGUAUGAGACAUUGUAUUAAUGAAAAAUAAUAUUAAAAGUGUUUUUCAACCAGCCUACAUAGCAACAAGCGGUGAAGCACAGCCGCCCACGCAGGAAGCUGUGCGAAACAUGAGAUUAUAAUUACUAUAAAUGUAAAUAUUUGCUGCUAUUAAACUAAAAAAACAUGAUUUGCAUGACCAUUUUGCAUGUAAAAGUCAAAAACAAAAAGUUCAUAAACUAAAGAGAGAAAUGACUAUAAUUACAAAACUA